rnacentral:tRNA from 1 species
GCCGAGGUAGCUAAGUCUGGACCAAGGCGCCGGCCUUGAGAGCCGGUGGUGCUUUGCACCUCAGGAGUUCGAAUCUCCUCCUCGGCG